AAGAAAGAAGCAUUAGUGGGUUAAUGCGAUUGGCUUGAAACCAGUGUAUGAGGGUUCGACUCCUUCCUUUCUUG
rnacentral:tRNA from 1 species